rnacentral:lncRNA from 1 species
GCUGGUGUUUGCAGCUCAGUCAGUUAAUUGAAACAAAAGCUGGAAGCAAGGAGCUACCCUGGAAAGACAAUGGCUGAAAAGGAACUACAGUCCAGCAUUUCAGAUAUUCGAAGAGAAGUAGCUUGGCCCUCACAGUGUCUCGGGCAGUACACUACAUGCCCUGUUAUUGGCACUAUCGUGGCAGAAGCCCACCAGGAAUAAAAGAAAUAUGGCAGACACGAAUUCCUUGCCUUUCAACGGGAAAUGUUUUGUCCGUAAU